UACGUAGGGACCAAGCGUUGUCCGGAGUUACUGGGCGUAAAGCGCGCGCAGGCGGCGGUGUAAGCAUGGCGUGAAAGCCUCUGGCUUAACCAGGGAGGGUCGUCGUGGACUGCACCGCUUGAGGGCGGUAGGGGCUGGUGGAAUGCCUGGUGUAGUGGUGAAAUGCGUAGAGAUCAGGCGGAACACCCGUGGCGAAGGCGGCCAGCUGGGCCGUCCCUGACGCUGAGGCGCGAAGGCGUGGGGAGCGAACGGG
rnacentral:rRNA from 1 species